rnacentral:antisense_RNA from 1 species
UGUGGGAGCGAGCCUGCUCGCGAUGCCGUAGUGUCAGUCGAACUUUCAUUGUCUGAUACACCGCCAUCGCGAGCAGGCUCGCUCCCACA